rnacentral:lncRNA from 1 species
CAAAAAUACGUAAGAAAGCACCCUAUUAAUUUCCGAUAAUUAAAAAAUAAGUGAGAAAAAUGGUUUUUAAGACAAAAUUUGGCAUAUCGAGCACCACUGGGGACGUAAAGAAGGAUGGAGGAUAGCGUACAUCUCUGUCGCACUCAUUAGAGUGCGUUGUGCGCACGCGUGGCUCGCACAACGUGUUGAGACGUGAGCCGCGUCAAUGAGUGCGACAAGGACGGGCAAUAAGUAAGAAAGAUAGAGAUAGGGAGAUUUCCGUAAAUCGGUCCCAAGACAUCUUUUGGAUUUUUGGCCUAUCAUCUAGACAGUCCUGCGCGACGCCCUAACAUGUGUAUAUAGAAAUAGGGAUCUGCGCAGGGGCAAUAUAUUCGCAUCGAGUUGUAGCUAGUUUAAAUCAUAAAAUUAUUUCGUAUACCGGUAAUAAUUUUCAAUCUUUCAUUCUAUAACAAACCACAUGACGUGACGGAGUGAAAAACUCAUUUGAAUAUAACGUUCGUCUAGACGAAAGUGUGCAGUUAUAAUUUUUAUUUUAUUUGCAAUAAUCUUUUAGUGAACUUUUCAUCUUUUGUGAGAAAACAUCCACUGAGAUACAAAUGAGUAUUCUGAACGGCUACAAGGCAAAGUAGGCCUAUGUUUUUGCUGAUUCACUACAUAUGGAAUGAAUUCAAGCCAUUGGUAUGUACGGUUGUCUGUUGACGUCCCAGGACAUGACGUAUCAACUAUUUGUGUUGAGGCUGAUGCAACUCGUCUCCUGGACUGGUUUUCUCAUUUUGCAUCAAUCGUAGAUCCGAGGGACUAUCCAGCAGGCUCUCAAGAUAUUAUGUACUUCUUGCAAUUCCCCUAUGGUUUGCCACAAUUAUGAGCACAGCGAAUUGUUUCCAAGCGGAUACUUUUGACAGCUGCUCUGUUGUCGUUCCAUCGCCUUGGAAAACCACGAUCACUUCAAGCAACCCAAGUAAAAUAACCCACGUGAAUCAACUUUGAAGUAUUGUAACGGUACGAUGGUGACAGAACACCCUGUUACGCGUGAAUUCGAGCUUCUUAUGAAUAAAAGGAGCAGGUAUGAAAGAAAAACAAGAGUUAACUCAAAGUAAUGUGGAAAUAAACAAAAGAAAGCUUUUAUUCAA